GGUUUCUCCCUCCUUGAGAGCAGAACAGUGACAAGAGCUAAAGGCAUUUCUGGGCAUUUCUGGGCAAACCUGCAGAGUUGCAGAAGUCUGCUUUCUUCUGCCAGCUGAGUUCAUUUGGUUUUGGAAGCUACAGCUUAACUAACUGAGAAGUGACUCCGUGCCAUAGCCUCCUGUUUUAGGGUGCUGAAGAUGUGAGCUCACAUCUGCCUGCAGUCACUGCUGUAGACACAUUCUACGUGGCUCCUGUACGAGGGCUGGAUCCUCUCCACUUAGUAUCAGACAUGGGCAGAGCUCAACUGUGUCCCAUCGUGCCCGCUCUCAUAAGAACAGCAGGAUCGAGGGAAUGCAGGUUCUGUGGGCACUGGCCUACAGCACAGCUAUUGCAGAAGGAUCUGGGGACAUACUUCUCUCCCACCCCCCCUCUUGAUGUUGGCUUCUCUUGACUCCUCAAUUCCUUUCAACCACCACUGGACCUUCUCUUAAGCUUCUGCCAUCCAAAAUAUCCUUCUUGUAUCUCUGCUUCACUGUUGUUCCAAACAUCAGCUGUACACGCAGUUUACUUUUUUGGCUAUAUUAGUAUCAGUUCCCUCAGACACUGACCCGUAAUACAGUGUUUUAAUAUCUUCAACAUACAGUCCUACUUAUUGUAAACCACCACCUUGCAAACUUAAAUGAAG
rnacentral:lncRNA from 1 species